GGUAGGUUGAUUCUAAGGGAAUGAGCAAAGAAGGCAAAAAGGAAAUUAUGCUGACUCCAAAAACAAGUGGUACAACAAGAGUAAUGAGAAGAAAGCAAAAAAAGAAAAACAAAAUUUGCCCCAGCUUGACAAGGAACAGACAGAUGGCAUCACACAUGCUACAGAUCCACGCCCUUUUGGUUUCUCCCCCUACUGUUCUUUAUUGUCUUUUGUGCCGACUUCCCUUUUAAGAAGACUGGCAUGAGCCCUGGAGCCUGGAAAACAGAGUUCUGGGCUCUAUUCCAUGUCUUUGCACCAAAAGUUGUCUGGGAGACAGGGACAUUUUUCUCUGUUGCUUCCAUGAUAAAUAGGGUAUGUAUUUCAACCACAGAAGGCCACAGUAGGGGAGAGAUGGAAUAUAAUAAAAAUUAUAUGAGGUUGUGUGAUUCUCUGCCUAUUUGUUAACUGAAACAAAAAGGAUGAAAUGCAGGAAAUGAUGGAAUGUCUGCCCCAGACACAGCAGCGGGUGGUAGCAGUGAUUUCAUCUAAGCCGAAUACUGGUUUCAUGCCAUUUGGAGCAUUUUUUCUUUAAGCUUUUCUCUCUCUCAUUAGGAACCCAUUUUCUCUACACGUAAAACAGUGAAAAUAUUGCCCACAGAGGCAAAAUGUUGCACGUCUAUGUGCUAGCUUUUCCAGAGUUGAUUCUAAAAUAUAUACUAGUUGCUUUUUGGAAUUAGACUCUACUAUUCAUUUUAAAACACAAAAGAAAUUGCAUAUGUGUUUGAUUGGUGGCAAAUACUUUUGAUUUUGUUCAUACUGACAGAAAAUGAUCAUUUGGGUCUUUUUGUAAAGGGUAGGGACAUGACUGGGAAAUACUUCUAAAUGAAUCAAAAUGUUAUAUACUGAAAGAUAAAUAUUAGUUUCAAAAUGGAAUUAGGUGUAUUAAAAGUUAUAUUUGAAUUUCACUGUGUAGGAGAGAUACAUGCCUUAAAACCUGCCUUCAGUAACAUUUUAAUAAAUAGAAGUAUAUUUUUGUAUAUUAUAUGUGUAGUUGAUGCUGAAAGGGAUAUGGUGUGUGGUUAACUCUUUCACUAAUUUAGUUUUUUUCCAAGUUUCAACACAUUGGUGUGGACACUUGGGCCAGCACAAUAACAACAGCCGUUAGUAAUGUUGAUUUAUGCUAGAAUGGAAAUUGCACUGACUUAUGCUCUAUUGCUGGUCUGACCACAAACUGGCCAUAUAAUCUUGGAUAAAUUUCCUUCUUUGGCCCUGCUUCCUUAUUUGUCCAAUGAUGAUUUCCAAGUUCCCUGCAGUGCCUACAUUGAAUAGUUCUGUGAGUUGGUUAAGCCCUUCUGGUUUAGCAUCCAGCUGAGAGAAUUUUUUCUGGGUGUUUCUCUGUCUUUGUAUGAGCCUUUCCAAGCAGAGGCAAGAAAGCAGGCAAGAAGAAACCAUCACAGAAUCAAAGCACCCGUGCGUCUGGUGUCUCUGACUCCUGCCCUCACUCUUGCCUGAGGCUUUACUAAGCAGUUUCAAACACAGUGCUUGGUGCCUCUGAGGGACCAGUAGUAGCAGUGAUAGGGGCUCUCUCCUCCUCUCCAAAUACCUACGACACACACUCACAGGCACACACAUAUACACACAAUCACACACAAUCUAAGUCUUUGUCUGUAUUCUCUGCUAUGACCAGUGUUCUUAUAGGAUAACAGGAUUCUUAGAGGUAGGGCUUCAGUUCUUGGUUUGGAUCCCAUCAGAACAUGGAUCCUCUUGUUCUACAGCCAGAACAUUGCUGCCACCACCAUCAGGGGGUAUUCUGGGUUAGAUGGUCCAAGUCCCAAAUCGUAUGGGCUUCCAUAGUGGUUUUCAAAUGUGCUCCAUAGACCAGGACUAGCAGCUUACAAAGAUUUCAUUGGUCCAAGUGAAAUGAGAAAAUUUUAAAUGAAACUAAAAUUGUUCAUUGUAAAGGGUUGAACUUCUCUCUUAGACCAUAUCCUUCAAAAAGCAUUUGGAUGUUAAAACAAUUCCCUUCUUUUAUGAAAUGCAAGUGCAAGUAGCAUGUUGGUAUAGGUCAUCUUCUGCCCGUUGCUUGCAUCCCUAAUUGAAUUCUGAAGGUAGUCCCUCUCUAUAAAAAAACAAAAGUAAAACAAAACCAAAAAACAGAUGAAACAGUGGGCCUGAAAUCUAAAAAUCUGGAGAUCACCUGCUAUUAGAGAGGGAAGAAUUUUCUUCAUAGAAUUAUUUCAAUGCAGUAAAUAGUCCAAUUUUGUUAAUAUGUGGAAUGGUGUCCAUAAUUUUCAGCUUCUCAUGGAGCAACAAAUCUUUUCCAGGUUGAAAAAAAAGGUCCCAUGUUUCUGAUGAAGGUACUGAAUUCAGAAUUCAAGACUGCUUUUUGUAAAUGCUUUUUGAAAGUAUCUAUCUCUUUUGGUGAUGGUUUUGAAACUUUUUGUUAAAGGAGGAACAUAUUCAACAAACUUAAGCCCAGGAAAUGCUAAUUUUGCUUGAAUCAAAUGGAUUGGAAACCCCCAUAGGCUAGAACACCAGUGACUUCUAGCAUAUGCGCGCGCGCGCACACACACACACACACACACACAC